rnacentral:rRNA from 1 species
UAAGUCUGGUGCCAGCAGCCGUGGUAAUUCCAGCUCCAGUAGCGUAUAUUAAAGUUGUUGCAGUUAAAAAGCUCGUAGUUGGACCUUGGGCCUGGACGGGCGGUCCGCCUCACGGCGUGUACUGUCUUGCCGGGCCUUUCCUCUUGGUGAUCUGUUGUUUCGGCAGCAGGGAACCAGGACCUUUACUUUGAAAAAAUUAGAGUGUUCAAAGCAGGCUCGACGCCGGAAUAUAUUAGCAUGGAAUAAUAAAAUAGGACGUGCGGUUCUAUUUUGUUGGUUUUUGGAAUCGCCGUAAUGAUUAAUAGGGACAGUCGGGGGCAUUAGUACUCACAUGCUAGAGGUGAAAUUCUUGGAUUUUGUGAAGACUAACUUCUGCGAAAGCAUUUGCCAAA